rnacentral:rRNA from 1 species
GACGAACGCUGGCGGCGUGCUUAACACAUGCAAGUCGAACGGAAAGGCCCUGCUAUUGUGGGGUGCUCGAGUGGCGAACGAGUGAGUAACACGUGAGUCACCUGCCCUUGACUUUGGGAUAACUUCAGGAAACUGGGGCUAAUACCGGAUAGGAGCUCCUGCUGCAUGGUGGGGGUUGGAAAGUUUCGGCGGUUGGGGAUGGACUCGCGGCUUCACAGCUUGUUGGUGGGGUAGUGGCUUACCAAGGCUUUGACGGGUAGCCGGCCUGAGAGGGUGACCGGCCACAUGGGGACUGUGGUACUGCCCAGACUCGUACUGGAGGCAGCAGUGGCGAAUAUUGCACUAUGGGCGGAAGCCUGAUGCAGCAACGCCGCGUGCGGGAUGGCGGCCUUCGGGUUGUAAACCGCUUUCGCCUGUGACUAAGCGUGAGUGACGGUAAUGGGUAAAGAAGCACCGGCUAACUACGUG